GUCUGUUUUAGAACUGUGGUAACCACUGUAAACAGAUCAACAGCCCCCAGUGAUGCUCCCCACAGACACACUGGAGAGCCUGCAGAUAAAAGUUACGUUAUCAGAUGGCGUGAUCUCACCUUGCGUUUGAGUGACAGACUGUCACCAUGGCAACCUGCAGCACUUUCCAGGUCUAGAAGAUUUUUCCAGGUUCCUGUAACUCCUAAG